rnacentral:rRNA from 1 species
CCUACGGGUGGCAGCAGUGAGGAAUAUUGGUCAAUGGGCGAGAGCCUGAACCAGUCAAGUCGCGUGAGGGAGUACUGCCCUAUGGGUUGUAAACCUCUUUUGUCGGGGAGCAAAAGCCGGACGUGUCCUGCUGUGAGAGUACCCGAAGAAAAAGCAUCGGCUAACUCCGUGCCAGCAGCCGCGGUAAUACGGAGGAUGCGAGCGUUAUCCGGAUUUAUUGGGUUAAAAGGGUGCGCAGGCGGAUUUUUAAGUCAGCGGUAAAAUCGUGGGGCUCAACCCCAUCCAGCCGUUGAAACUGGGGAUCUAGAGUGUGCGAGAGGUAGGCGGAAUGCGUGGUGUAGCGGUGAAAUGCAUAGAUAUCACGCAGAACCCCGAUUGCGAAGGCAGCAUACCGGUGCACAACUGACGCUCAGGCACGAAAGCGUGGGUAUCGAACAGGACUAGAUACCCCUGUAGUC